CCCGGAGGCGGCACCAGGAAGCGCCCGCCCCGGCCGAAGCCGCCAUGUAACCGGCGCCGCCCGGAGCCCGAGCUGCGCGGGCCCCAGCGACCCGCCCGCCAUGGGGGACGAGGACGAAGAAGAGGGCUGUGCGGUGGAGCUGUGGAUCACAGAAGCCAACCUGACCGGGCAUGAGGAGAAGGUGAGCGUGGAGAACUUCGAGCUGCUCAAGGUGCUGGGCACGGGAGCCUACGGGAAAGUGUUCCUGGUGCGGAAGGCGGGCGGGCACGACUCCGGGAAGCUGUACGCCAUGAAGGUGCUGCGCAAGGCGGCGCUGGUGCAGCGUGCCAAGACGCAGGAGCACACGCGCACCGAGCGCUCAGUGCUGGAGCUGGUGCGCCAGGCACCCUUCCUGGUCACACUGCACUAUGCCUUCCAGACAGAUGCCAAGCUGCACCUCAUCCUGGACUACGUGAGUGGUGGCGAGAUGUUCACCCAUCUCUACCAGCGCCAGUACUUCAAGGAGGCCGAGGUGCGCGUGUACGGGGGUGAGAUCGUGCUGGCUCUGGAACACCUGCACAAGCUUGGCAUCAUCUACCGAGACCUGAAGCUGGAGAACGUGCUGCUGGACUCGGAGGGCCACGUCGUCCUCACGGACUUUGGGCUGAGCAAAGAGUUCCUGACGGAGGAGAAAGAGCGGACCUUCUCCUUCUGUGGCACCAUCGAGUACAUGGCCCCUGAAAUUAUCCGCAGCAAGGCGGGGCAUGGCAAGGCUGUGGACUGGUGGAGCCUGGGCAUCCUGCUCUUUGAGCUGCUGACGGGGGCCUCACCCUUCACGCUGGAGGGCGAGAGGAACACGCAGGCCGAGGUGUCCCGACGGAUCCUGAAGUGCUCCCCUCCCUUCCCCCCCCGGAUUGGGCCUGUGGCGCAGGACCUGCUGCAGCGGCUGCUUUGCAAGGACCCCAAGAAGCGAUUGGGUGCGGGGCCCCAGGGGGCACAAGAAGUCAAGAACCACCCCUUCUUCCAGGGUCUGGAUUGGGCUGCUCUGGCUGCCAGGAAGAUUCCAGCCCCAUUCCAGCCCCAGAUCCGCUCGGAGCUGGAUGUGAGCAACUUUGCAGAGGAAUUUACUCGGCUGGAGCCUGUCUACUCACCCCCUGGCAGCCCCCCGUCUGGGGACCCUCGCAUCUUUCAGGGAUACUCCUUCGUGGCACCGUCCAUCCUGUUUGACCACAAUAAUGCGGUGAUGACCGAUGUUCUGGAAGCGCCUGGCGCUGAAGACCGCCCAGGUCGGGCCGCGGUGGCCAGGAGCGCCAUGAUGCAGGACUCGCCCUUCUUCCAGCAGUACGAGCUGGACCUGCGGGAGCCCGCGCUGGGCCAGGGCAGCUUCUCCGUGUGUCGCCGCUGUCGCCAGCGCCAGAGCGGCCAGGAGUUCGCCGUCAAGAUCCUCAGUCGCAGGCUGGAGGCGAACACGCAGCGGGAAGUGGCCGCCCUGCGCCUGUGCCAGUCGCACCCCAACGUGGUGACUCUGCACGAGGUGCACCACGACCAGGUGACGCCUUCCGAACAGGCUGGAACGCAGGGACGCCAGAGGCGGGGAGCUGCACACCUACCUAGUGCUGGAGCUGCUGCGGGGCGGCGAGCUGCUGGAGCACAUCCGCAAGAAGCGGCACUUCAGCGAGUCGGAGGCGAGCCAGAUCCUGCGCAGCCUCGUGUCGGCCGUGAGCUUCAUGCACGAGGAGGCGGGCGUCGUGCACCGCGACCUCAAGCCCGAGAACAUCCUGUACGCCGACGACACGCCCGGGGCCCCGGUGAAGAUCAUCGACUUCGGGUUCGCGCGGCUGCGGCCGCAGAGCCCCGGGAGGCCCAUGCAGACGCCCUGCUUCACGCUGCAGUACGCGGCCCCCGAGCUGCUGGCGCAGCAGGGCUACGACGAGUCCUGCGACCUCUGGAGCCUGGGCGUCAUUCUGUACAUGAUGCUGUCGGGGCAGGUGCCCUUCCAGGGGGCCUCAGGCCAGGGCGGGCAGAGCCAGGCGGCCGAGAUCAUGUGCAAGAUCCGCGAGGGGCGCUUCUCUCUUGACGGGGAGGCCUGGCAGGGUGUGUCGGAGGAAGCCAAGGAGCUGGUCCGAGGGCUCCUGACUGUUGACCCCGCCAAGCGGCUGAAGCUCGAGGGGCUGCGGGGCAGCUCGUGGCUGCAGGACGGCAGUGCGCGCUCCUCGCCUCCGCUCCGGACGCCCGACGUGCUGGAGUCCUCCGGGCCCGCAGUGCGCUCAGGGCUCAACGCCACCUUCAUGGCGUUCAACCGGGGCAAGCGCGAGGGCUUCUUCCUGAAGAGCGUGGAGAACGCGCCCCUGGCCAAGCGGCGGAAGCAGAAGCUGCGGAGCGCCACCGCCUCCCGCCGCGGCUCGCCAGCGCCCACCGCCAAGGGCACCCCCCGCCGAGCCAACGGCCCCCUGCCCCCCUCCUAGCCCCUGCCACUGUGAUCCCCGCUUCCCCCAUAGGGGCUGUGUCCUGGGAGCCCGGCUUACUGCCCCCAGCCCUCUGCCAGCGGCUCCGCCCUGAUCCCCAGGGAUCGUCCUUCCCCCUCCCACCCUACUCCCAGACAGAGCAGAAGUAUUUUUAUAAGCUGAGAAUUUUUUAUGUCUUACCAGAUAGAGUUAGAGAUGCAGGGAAGGAGGGGGCCUGCUGCGGAGCGGGGCGUGGGAGGCCCUCUCCUAAGCCACUGCCUCAUCUGGGUAGAAGGCUCCUCCCAGGGGGCUGCUCCAACGGGAAGGACCCCCCCCAUUUCUAAACACUGUUGCCAAGGGAGAAACUGGGACCCCCCCUCCCCUAUUCUCCCUUGAGGUCCUGCUCCUGGGAGGGGGCACCCAUCAAGCUGUCACUUUAUGGACUGUCUGUGCAAUUAUGUCCACCAAACACCGGUGUUGGGGGGAUUGAGGGAGAGGGCUUGAGGGACCCCCUGAAGCAUUUCUGCCUCACAUUAUGUCACCUGCUUCUCCCCUAUUGGGGCUGAGGAAAGAAGUAGGCGACCCCCUAAGAGGGGAGGCCCCCCUUCUCACCCACCCCCUCCCCUUUGGCACAGCUGUUCCUGGCUAGGGGUGGGACCUUGGGGGCCUGGGCUGGGCAUCCGUGGUCGCUGCCUCAGCCCAUCCAGGCUGUGCCUUUGACUUAAAAAUAAAAGUCCACCCAGUGCUGUGUGUGGCA